CCAGUAGAGCCUGAGAAAAUGUCCAAGUUCAAUGAAUCUAGUACGAGGGUCAUCCAGAACCAGAUCGCAACAUGGGCUAGGUUCGCCUAAAACGUAGUUUUAUCACGGUUGAAAAUAAACCAUACAGUCCUUGAAAGAUCCAGAGGCAGUUAUAUAUAUAUAUAUAUAUAUAGGAGGAGGAGGAGGAGGACACGGCAGGAGGCAUGUAUAUGUUAGCUAUGUCGACAAACUGAAAUAUUCAUCGGAAGUUGAUUAGAAAUGAGCAAUGAGUUUGUUUGGGGUCACCCUGAGUUCCUCCUAGCUUCUUCAGUACCCGUGGAAAGCUAAUGCUGCAAUUAUCUUGAGCUGGUAAGACUGGCAGGUGUCAGAUUUGGAUGUGUUAAAGGGUUUGGAGGAACUCUAGGUGCUGCCAAACUUGUUACCUAUCAUGCUGUGUGGUUGAUGCAGAUCUGAAUCGGAUAAUUUGGUGGGUUAUUAAGUUUCUUUAUUACUUUGCAACUUGCAAUUAAUUAGUUCUGGACUGGUUCAACGUUCCUAGGGUUAAUCUUAAUCUUUCUUUCUUUC